GUGUGGGUGCGGAGGUGUCGGUUCAGAGAACUCUUUUGUGAUAAUAUCUGAGGGCAUGAUGGGCAUCGAAAUGGCAUCUCGCCUGUGUGGGUGCGGAGGUGUUGAUUCAGAGUACUCUUUCGUGAGAAGCUUUGAGGGCAUGAAGGGCAC